CCCAUGUUACAACUCUGUUUGGCUUCUCCAGCUUCUCUUUCUUUUUCAGUACUUUUUCUACACUUCUUUCUUGCUUAGUCUGUUUCACCUGGUAAAUGAGGUGGGAGUAUGUUCAAAGUUUGUUUUUGUUUGCAUUUUUUUUUUGUUCAGCAACUUAAUGGUUCUACCACUGACAUGCUCUGAAAGUAAUAGAAAAGUACCUAUUUUUACUGAAGCUGCUGUGCUCCAAUGACGCUAUUCGGAUUUCUAUCAAGAUACUUGCAGACUUGACAUUUAAGCCUAUCUCAAAAUGGAAUACAACAGCAAGAGGAAUGAAUAUAAAAGUGAUUUUGGAUAUCAACUCAAUACCUGGUGGCAAUCAAUGUGACCAAACCUAAGAAAAAAAGGAAACUUUUCAUGUGAACAGAAACAGCAAAAUAUGAAGAUAAUUAAUUCUGUA